rnacentral:rRNA from 1 species
UACGUAGGGGGCGAGCGUUAUCCGGAUUUAUUGGGCGUAAAGCGUGCGUAGGCGGCUUAUUAAGUUUAAGAUUAAAGUCCGAGGCUCAACUUCGGUUCGUCUUAAAAACUGGUAGGCUUGAGUGUGGUAGAGGUAAAUGGAAUUUCUAGUGUAGCGGUGAAAUGCGUAGAUAUUAUAAGGAACACCAGUGGCGAAGGCGAUUUACUGGGCCACAACUGACGCUGAGGCACGAAAGCGUGGUAGCAAAUAG